rnacentral:tRNA from 1 species
GCUUAAGUAGUUUAAAUAAAAUGUUGAUUUGUGGUGUCAAAGAUAUAAUGAUUUAUCUUAGGUU